CCUACGGGUGUGCAGCAGUGGGGAAUAUUGGACAAUGGGCGAAAGCCUGAUCCAGCCAUGCCGCGUGUGUGAAGAAGGCCUUCGGGUUGUAAAGCACUUUCAGUGGGGAAGAAAGCCUUGGGGCUAAUACCCUCGAGGAAGGACAUCACCCACAGAAGAAGCACCGGCUAACUCCGUGCCAGCAGCCGCGGUAAUACGGAGGGUGCGAGCGUUAAUCGGAAUUACUGGGCGUAAAGCGCGCGUAGGCGGUCUGAUAAGCCGGUUGUGAAAGCCCCGGGCUCAACCUGGGAACGGCAUCCGGAACUGUCAGGCUAGAGUGCAGGAGAGGAAGGUAGAAUUCCCGGUGUAGCGGUGAAAUGCGUAGAGAUCGGGAGGAAUACCAGUGGCGAAGGCGGCCUUCUGGACUGACACUGACGCUGAGGUGCGAAAGCGUGGGUAGCAAACAGGAUUAGAUACCCUGGUAGUC
rnacentral:rRNA from 1 species